UACGUAGGGUGCGAGCGUUGUCCGGAAUUAUUGGACGUAAAGGGCGCGUAGGCGGCUUGGCAAGUGGAAGGUGAAAUCCCUCGGCUUAACCGAGGAACUGCCCUCCAAACUGCUUCGCUUGAGACCGGGAGAGGUGAGUGGAAUUCCCAGUGUAGCGGUGAAAUGCGUAGAUAUUGGGAGGAACACCAGUGGCGAAGGCGGCUCACUGGACCGGAACUGACGCUGAGGCGCGAAAGCGUGGGGAGCAAACGGG
rnacentral:rRNA from 1 species